AAGCGAAGAUCCCAGCAGAGGGGCGUGAUUCUCCGUCGUUGAGGCCUCUCUAACAACAAUUAAUCUUCGCAGAGGAACGAGACGCCGUGGAUUUGUGGAUGUGUGAUUUAUUCUGGUUCUGUCACAUCUGUUGCCAUGGCUACAUCAUU
rfam:Brachypodium distachyon strain Bd21 chromosome 2, whole genome shotgun sequence.